AGAACUACUUGGAUGCUCAGUACUUUGGUGAGAUUAGCAUUGGCUCACCACCUCAAAAGUUCACUGUCAUCUUUGAUACUGGAAGUUCUAAUCUUUGGGUGCCCUCUGCUAAAUGUCAUUUUUCACUUGCUUGUUAUCUCCACCCAAAAUACAAGUCAAGUCACUCCAGUACCUACAAAAAGAACGGGACAUCUGCUGCAAUCCACUAUGGAACUGGAUCAAUUUCUGGAUAUUUUAGCAAUGACAAUGUCAAAGUUGGCGAUCUCGUUGUCAAAGAUCAGGACUUUAUCGAGGCAACUCGAGAACCAGGCAUCACCUUUUUGGCAGCCAAGUUUGAUGGUAUUCUUGGA
rnacentral:misc_RNA from 1 species